UACGUAGGGGGCAAGCGUUGUCCGGAAUUACUGGGCGUAAAGCGUGCGCAGGCGGCUUUGCAAGACAGAUGUGAAAUCCCCGGGCUCAACCUGGGAACUGCAUUUGUGACUGCAGGGCUGGAGUACGGCAGAGGGGGAUGGAAUUCCGCGUGUAGCAGUGAAAUGCGUAGAUAUGCGGAGGAACACCGAUGGCGAAGGCAGUCCCCUGGGCCUGUACUGACGCUCAUGCACGAAAGCGUGGGGAGCAAACAGG
rnacentral:rRNA from 1 species